CUGGUGGGCCAUGUACACGGGCAGUGCAGUGGUAAGAGAAAGAAAUAUCUGCCCUGUCUUCUUCCUCGCACUCCCCUCAAUGCCGACGACCCAUCUCUCCUCGCCGCUCCCCCCCGGCUACACCGGCGUCACCUCGAUUAACAUUUCUCUCCAAUGAAUCGACCUGGUGUGUUCCAAGUUCGUCAGUCCUUGCAGGGUGCUCAGGCGGCGAAGUAGUACAUUCGAGGCACGAGUAGUGCCUGAGCGAGGGCCUCCUCGGCAAUGGUUGGAGGCUCGAGUUUGGUACUCUUCAUCGGAUGAAAUGUGGGAACUCGGACAGGUUCAAUCAACAAUCAAUUUCUAGAGAUGGAGAUGAAAUACUCCUGGCUAAUGCAGAAGUUUUGACGCUGUCACAAGAAAGACUAUUGCCUGUUAACCCUGAUAUUCUAGAUGGGGUUGAUGAUUUCAUCCAGAUGAGCUACUUGAAUGCACCUUCUGUCCUUUACCAUCUGCAAUUUCGAUACCCUUGUGAUUUUAUCUAUGCAAUACAUGCAGCAGCUCAAGAAUGAUCCACAUGUAUGCAAUUGCUGAUUUGGCUUUUAAUGAAAUGCUAACUGUGGUGAAAGUGGUGCAGGAAAAACCAAAACAACUAAAAUUGCUGUGCAAUAUUUGGCUCUCUAGGGGGUGCUAACGGAAUGGAGUCUGAGGUCUACAAACCAAUGUAAUUUUGGAAGCUUUAGGGAAUGCGAAAACAUCAAGAAAUGAAAACUCGAGCCGGUUCGAGAGUUCAUGUUCAUUUAAAAUUGUUGUCUUAUUGUCCAGCUCUCCAAUAUCAUUCUUAAAUAAUUCUUGUGAGACCUUGAUGGUUUUGAUGUAGAUGUAGGGAAAGCUCACUGAAAUAGUGAAAUGCACUUUUCUGAAACUGAGAAGAUUUGUGGUGCUAAAAUCCAAACAUCUAAGCCUUAUGUGAUGUUUAUUGUUUACUUAGGUAGAUGAUAUUGAUGAACUUCCUGAUAACUUGUUUAUUUGGGCGACAAUGUUAUCAUACCCUUAAUAUACUUUUUCUUUUGGAUAAAGGUCGCUAGAAACAGAGUAACGAGAUGCAAUAGAUGAUAGCAAAUUUCCUUUGCAAUUUCAGAACUUACUCAUGUGGUUAAUUAGAUGUUCUUUUUUUAGAAUUGAUUGACAUGUGCACAUCCAACUGUAUUAAAACGUGAAAACUUAAAGGCUAUGAACCAGAGGUGUGAAGACCUCCGAUGAAAGAAACCUAGUAUAAAAGAAGAGGAAAUAGAACGACUUGCUAGGAGUGGAUAACCAUCUAAGUUACCUCAAGAAUUAUCACCGUUGAUUCGCAACACUCGCUUCAUAAAACUGCAAGAUUUUGAUGAUAUAUCAUAAACACAAACACCAAAUAGUACAUUUACUCAAUCAUUUGAUUUUUAAGACUAUUUACUUUUCAGUAGCCAUGA